UAACCGGCGAUUUCCGAAUGGGGAAACCCAGUGUGAUUCGUCACACUAUCAUUAACUGAAUCCAUAGGUUAAUGAGGCGAACCGGGGGAACUGAAACAUCUAAGUACCCCGAGGAAAAGAAAUCAACCGAGAUUCCCCCAGUAGCGGCGAGCGAACGGGGAGCAGCCCAGAGCCUGAAUCAGUGUGUGUGUUAGUGGAAGCGUCUGGAAAGGCGCGCGAUACAGGGUGACAGCCCCGUACACAAAAAUGCACAUAUUGUGAGCUCGAUGAGUAGGGCGGGACACGUGGUAUCCUGUCUGAAUAUGGGGGGCCCAUCCUCCAAGGCUAAAUACUCCUGACUGACCGAUAGUGAACCAGUACCGUGAGGGAAAGGCGAAAAGAACCCCGGCGAGGGGAGUGAAAAAGAACCUGAAACCGUGUACGUACAAGCAGUGGGAGCACGCUUAGGCGUGUGACUGCGUACCUUUUGUAUAAUGGGUCAGCGACUUAUAUUCUGUAGCAAGGUUAACCGAAUAGGGGAGCCGAAGGGAAACCGAGUCUUAACUGGGCGUUAAGUUGCAGGGUAUAGACCCGAAACCCGGUGAUCUAGCCAUGGGCAGGUUGAAGGUUGGGUAACACUAACUGGAGGACCGAACCGACUAAUGUUGAAAAAUUAGCGGAUGACUUGUGGCUGGGGGUGAAAGGCCAAUCAAACCGGGAGAUAGCUGGUUCUCCCCGAAAGCUAUUUAGGUAGCGCCUCGUGAAUUCAUCUCCGGGGGUAGAGCACUGUUUCGGCAAGGGGGUCAUCCCGACUUACCAACCCGAUGCAAACUGCGAAUACCGGAGAAUGUUAUCACGGGAGACACACGGCGGGUGCUAACGUCCGUCGUGAAGAGGGAAACAACCCAGACCGCCAGCUAAGGUCCCAAAGUCAUGGUUAAGUGGGAAACGAUGUGGGAAGGCCCAGACAGCCAGGAUGUUGGCUUAGAAGCAGCCAUCAUUUAAAGAAAGCGUAAUAGCUCACUGGUCGAGUCGGCCUGCGCGGAAGAUGUAACGGGGCUAAACCAUGCACCGAAGCUGCGGCAGCGACGCUUAU
rnacentral:rRNA from 1 species